UACGUAGGCAGCAAGCGUUGUUCGGAUUUAUUGGGCGUAAAGAGCGUGUAGGCGGCCAGGUAGGUCAGCUGUGAAAACUCGAGGCUCAACCUCGAGACGCCGGUUGAAACCAUCUGGCUAGAGUCCGGAAGAGGAGAGUGGAAUUCCUGGUGUAGCGGUGAAAUGCGCAGAUAUCAGGAAGAACACCCGUGGCUAAGGCGGCUCUCUAGUACGGUACUGACGCUGAGACGCGAAAGCGUGGGGAGCGAACAGG
rnacentral:rRNA from 1 species